GGUUACUGCUAUCGGGGUCCGACUAAGCCAUGCGAGUUGAGAGGGGUAAGCCCUCGGCAUACUGCUCAGUAACACGCGGAUAACCUGCCCUUGGGUCCGGGAUAACCCCGGGAAACUGGGACUAAUACCGGAUAGAUCAGAGAAACUGGAAUGUUCUCUGGUUCAAAACUCCGGUGCCCAAGGAUGGGUCUGCGGCCUAUCAGGUAGUAGUGGGUGUAACGUACCUACUAGCCAGCGACGGGUAAGGGUUGUGAGAGCAAGAUCCCUGAGAUGGAUUCUGAGACAUGAAUCCAGGCCCUACGGGGUGCAGCAGGCGCGAAAACUUUACACUGCGGGAAACCGCGAUAAGGGGACCCCGAGUGCCAGCACCUAGUGCUGGCUGUCCUACUGUCUAAAUAACAGUGGUUAGCAAGGGCCGGGCAAGACCGGUGCCAGCCGCCGCGGUAACACCGGCGGCCCGAGUGGUAACCGUUUUUAUUGGGUUUAAAGGGUCCGUAGCCGGCUUACUAAGUCUCUUGGGAAAUCUGGCGGCUCAAUCGUCAGGCGGCCAAGAGAUACUGGUAGGCUUGGGACCGGGAGAGGUGGGAGGUACUCCAGGGGUAGGGGUGAAAUCUCGUAAUCCUUGGGGGACCACCGAUGGCGAAGGCAUCCCACCGGAACGGGUCCGACGGUGAGGGACGAAAGCUGGGGGCACGAACCGGAUUAGAUACCCGGGUAGUCCCAGCUGUAAACGAUGCUCGCUAGGUGUCAGGUGCGGUGCGACCGCAUCUGGUGCCGCAGUGAAAACUUGAAGCGAGUCACCUGGGAAGUACGGUCGCAAGGCUGAAACUUAAAGGAAUUGGCGGGGGAGCACUACAACGGGUGGAGCCUGCGGUUC
rnacentral:rRNA from 1 species